rnacentral:rRNA from 1 species
GGCGUCGACCGGCGCACGGGUGAGUAACGCGUAUCCAACCUGCCCACCACUUGGGGAUAACCUUGCGAAAGUAAGACUAAUACCCAAUGAUAUCUCUAGAAGACAUCUGAAGGAGAUUAAAGAUUUAUCGGUGAUGGAUGGGGAUGCGUCUGAUUAGCUUGUUGGCGGGGUAACGGCCCACCAAGGCAACGAUCAGUAGGGGUUCUGAGAGGAAGGUCCCCCACAUUGGAACUGAGACACGGUCCAAACUCCUACGGGAGGCAGCAGUGAGGAAUAUUGGUCAAUGGACGAGAGUCUGAACCAGCCAAGUAGCGUGCAGGAUGACGGCCCUAUGGGUUGUAAACUGCUUUUAUAAGGGAAUAAGGUGAGUCUCGUGAGAUUUUUUGCAUGUACCUUAUGAAUAAGGACCGGCUAAUUCCGUGCCAGCAGCCGCGGUAAUACGGAAGGUCCGGGCGUUAUCCGGAUUUAUUGGGUUUAAAGGGAGCGUAGGCCGGAGAUUAAGCGUGUUGUGAAAUGUAGAUGCUCAACAUCUGCACUGCAGCGCGAACUGGUUUCCUUGAGUACGCACAAAGUGGGCGGAAUUCGUGGUGUAGCGGUGAAAUGCUUAGAUAUCACGAAGAACUCCGAUUGCGAAGGCA